GUGGACGUGUGAAGGGGGUUUAAUAGGUUUCUUCUCUUUGCCCCACUGGGCUGUGACCAGGAGGGGAGACAGAGCUGCCUGAGUCACUAAUUGCUUUGGCCCUGCAACUCCCGAAUGAUGGAAAAGAUUAAGAGGGAAGGAAAACAGCCAUUCUAUCUCUUUCUUGAAAAAACUUGCAGCAUGAAAGGCUCAUUAACAUCAUUAAUGUUUCAUUAACCUCUAGCCAGACAAAUAAGCUGGAGGUAAUUUAACAGUACGGGAAAAAAAAAAAAAAGAAAGAAAAUUAAAAAUUACCCAGGUGUAGGUGACAUUCUGCCGUUUACCUUCGCUGUGCGUUUUGGAGAGGUGCGGGCUCCUCUGCCUCCCCGCCCGGCGCUUGGAGCUCUGCCAGCGGCUGCAGGCUUCUGCACAGAGAGAAACUACCUGGGCUGAGAGGAGAGGCUUUGAAAGGGACUGGGGAAUGCUCUGCAGCCCUGCUUCUCCUCAUCUCCGUGGACCCCCUGCACGGACCAGGCCUUGGACACCCGGAGUUUGCUCUGAAUCACUGUUUGCCAUUUAUUCCAAGGCCAGGCUAAAAAUUGCCAGAACCAUCUCUUCCAGCCUCAAAAUAUCGAUGAGUCACUGAGGAGCAAAGGGCUGCAGAGCCAGAACACAGCGUGCAGCCUGUGUAGAUGGAUUCAGCCUUUCCCAUCCUGGUGUUGUUGUGUACAAACCCGGCUCAUUUUUUCACCUGCUCAGGACAAAACGCAGCACAGGCAGAGAUUGCUCCUCGUGCCUUCUGGCAUGGACAGGCCGGAUGAGGCUGGGGACUGCUGCUGGGUCCCGUGAAAAUUGCCCAGCUAUGGAGCCUGGCUGCCUGCACUUGUGGAAGACAUGGGAAAUUCAUUAAAAUUUCAUCAUUUCUGGCUUAAAUUGUUCACUUUUGUGACUAGCUCUGCUGGGUCUGGCUCUG